AGCAGCCGCGGUAAUUCCAGCUCCAAUAGCGUAUAUUAAAGUUGUUGCAGUUAAAAAGCUCGUAGUUGAAUUUCGGGGUUCUACCGUCGGUCGGGCUACCAAGUCUGUACUGGUGUGUAGAAUUCCUACCUUCUGGGGAACCAUCAUGUUAUUAAUUUAGCGUAGUGGGAAACCAGGACCUUUACCUUGAAAAAAUUAGAGUGUUCAAAGCAGGCUUAUGUCUGAAUACAUUAGCAUGGAAUAAUAGAAUAGGACGGUGGUCCUGUUUUGUUGGUUUCUGAAUCACCGUAAUGAUUAAUAGGGAUAGUUGGGGGCAUUAGUAUUCAAUUGUCAGAGGUGAAAUUCUUGGAUUUAUUGAAGACUAACUUCUGCGAAAGCAUUUGCCAAGGAUGUUUUCAUUAAUCAAGAACGAAAGUUAGGGGAUCGAAGACGAUCAGAUACCGUCGUAGUCUUAACCAUAAACUAUGCCGACUAGGGAUCGGACGAUGUUAAAUUUUAUUGACUCGUUCGGCGCCUUAUG
rnacentral:rRNA from 1 species